UAGGGAAUCUUCCACAAUGGACGCAAGUCUGAUGGAGCAACGCCGCGUGAGUGAAGAAGGGUUUCGGCUCGUAAAGCUCUGUUGGUAGUGAAGAAAGAUAGAGGUAGUAACUGGCCUUUAUUUGACGGUAAUUACUUAGAAAGUCACGGCUAACUACGUGCCAGCAGCCGCGGUAAUACGUAGGUGGCAAGCGUUGUCCGGAUUUAUUGGGCGUAAAGCGAGUGCAGGCGGUUCAAUAAGUCUGAUGUGAAAGCCUUCGGCUCAACCGGAGAAUUGCAUCAGAAACUGUUGAACUUGAGUGCAGAAGAGGAGAGUGGAACUCCAUGCGUAGCGGUGGAAUGCGUAGAUAUAUGGAAGAACACCAGUGGCGAAGGCGGCUCUCUGGUCUGCAACUGACGCUGAGGCUCGAAAGCAUGGGUAGCGAACAGGAUUAGAUACCCUGGUAGUCCAUGCCGUAAACGAUGAGUGCUAAGUGUUGGGAGGUUUCCGCCUCUCAGUGCUGCAGCUAACGCAUUAAGCACUCCGCCUGGGGAGUACGACCGCAAGGUUG
rnacentral:rRNA from 1 species